UGGGGAAUUUUGGACAAUGGGGGAAACCCUGAUCCAGCCAUCCCGCGUGUGCGAUGAAGGCCUUCGGGUUGUAAAGCACUUUUGGCAGGAAAGAAACGUCGCGGGUUAAUACCCCGCGAAACUGACGGUACCUGCAGAAUAAGCACCGGCUAACUACGUGCCAGCAGCCGCGGUAAUACGUAGGGUGCAAGCGUUAAUCGGAAUACUGGGCGUAAAGCGUGCGCAGGCGGUUCGGAAAGAAAGAUGUGAAAUCCCAGAGCUUAACUUUGGAACUGCAUUUUUAACUACCGGGCUAGAGUGUGUCAGAGGGAGGUGGAAUUCCGCGUGUAGCAGUGAAAUGCGUAGAUAUGCGGAGGAACACCGAUGGCGAAGGCAGCCUCCUGGGAUAACACUGACGCUCAUGCACGAAAGCGUGGGGAGCAAACAGGAUUAGAUACCCUGGUAGUCCACGCCCUAAACGAUGUCAACUAGCUGUUGGGGCCUUCGGGCCUUGGUAGCGCAGCUAACGCGUGAAGUUGACCGCCUGGGGAGUACGGUCGCAAGAUUAAAACUUAAAUGAAUUG
rnacentral:rRNA from 1 species